AUUGAACGCUGGCGGUAUGCUUUACACAUGCAAGUCGAACGGGCUUGGGGGCUUGCUCCCGGGUUAGUGGCGAACGGGUGAGUAAUAUAUCGGAACAUGUCCGGAAGUGGGGGAUAACGUAGCGAAAGUUACGCUAAUACCGCAUAUGCCCUGAGGGGGAAAGGAGGGGAUCGCAAGACCUUUCGCUUUCGGAGUGGCCGAUAUCGGAUUAGCUAGUAGGUGAGGUAAAGGCUCACCUAGGCGACGAUCCGUAGCUGGUCUGAGAGGACGACCAGCCACACUGGAACUGAGACACGGUCCAGACUCCUACGGGAGGCAGCAGUGGGGAAUUUUGGACAAUGGGCGAAAGCCUGAUCCAGCCAUACCGCGUGAGUGAAGAAGGCCUUCGGGUUGUAAAGCUCUUUCAGCCGGAAAGAAAUUGCCUCUAUUAAUACUAGAGGUAGAUGACGGUACCGGAAGAAGAAGCACCGGCUAACUACGUGCCAGCCGCCGCGGUAACAC
rnacentral:rRNA from 1 species